CCGAGUUUACAACUCCCAAACCCCUGUGAACAUACCUAUACUGUUGCCUCGGCGGAUCAGCCCGCUCCCCGGUGUAAAACGGGACGGCCCGCCCGAGGACCCCUAAACUCUGUUUCUAUAGUGGAACUUCUGAGUAAAACAAACAUAAUAAAUCA
rnacentral:misc_RNA from 1 species